UCGAGAUUCUUUCGGGGCUCUUAAAAGACUAUACGAAAAAUAAGCACAUAGCAUUCACCGGAGACUGGGCGAAGCGCAAAAAAAGAAGAAAACAGUGCACAGUUGUAGCUUUUCCCCUUGUACUUAAGUAACGCAUAGCUAGGCUUAAAAUUUUUUUGCUCUCGUUUUCGGAAGGUGGACGUUGAUCGUUUUCGCGUUCUGCGUUGAUUGAAAGUGAAUAUUCCAGAAUAUUGUUUCGCGAAAAGUUAGCAGUUUAGUGAUCGGUUCACGUUCGUAGAAACUGAAUGAGUGCUCGUUUGAAGGAAUUUCCGAAACAGAUUGAGCUCUCUGCGCAGCAGGCAUAAAGUAGAAAGAUACUCCUACAGAACCGUCGACGACGAAGACACGCCGAUUGCACUCGAGGGGGGGCCUGUUGAGCCGCAAAAAGCGAAGAAGUGCGUGAAAGAGGAAACGCAGAGUCACGAGUGUGUUUUAUGUGGCCGAGCGAGCACAGUGAGCCGAGAAUUCGAGCACGGGUGUGACCGAGUGUGUUGGUGAGGCGCUUCCAAUCGCGAGUGUAGUGGCGAAUUUUUGAAAAUCGUUGUUUUCCGAUUUUUUAUCAUUGUUUUUUUCAUUUGGAAGUAAAGGGUUGUUUAAAACGAGUGAAGAAAGGAAGAAACCGAAUUACUGAGCGAAUGCGCUAGAGAUAGGAAAAGGCACGUCGAGUUGAAUCACGAAAAUUCCUCUACGUACACUAGUACAAAGAAAGUGGGUAAAUAGUGUGGCUGUACUGCGGCCGCAAUCGAGUAUUAACUAGGAACGUGCAGGAAUUGCUGGAGGGAUGGAGAUGCGCUACUAGUUUACAAAAAUAAACGAGUGUGGAACAAAAGUGCAAACGUGAACGAUUCAAACAGUACCCAAAGAAAGAGAGAAAGAGAAAUACAGUAAGGCCAAGUGUUCUGCAGCAUAACAGGACCUCGAAGAUCAUUCAAAAUGAGCACGUAUUGCAAUAGUGUCAGCUCGGACAAUAAUUCCCAGACCACGCAGAGCAUUGCGGACUAUCUGGCGCAGUUACUUAAAGAUCGGAAACAGUUGGCCGCCUUUCCGAAUGUGUUCAACCAUGUUGAACGCUUGCUGGAUGAAGAAAUUUCUAAAGUGAGGGCUUCGUUGUUCCAAAUCAAUGGAGUGACCAAAGAACCCCUGCAACUUCCAGAGGCCGAAGGGGAAGCGAUCACGUUGAACGAGAAGGUUUACGUGCCCGUAAAAGAACACCCUGAUUUCAACUUUGUUGGACGAAUUCUUGGACCAAGAGGUAUGACAGCGAAGCAGCUCGAACAGGAGACUGGGUGUAAGAUUAUGGUCCGGGGGAAAGGCUCGAUGCGCGAUAAGAAAAAAGAGGAAGCCAACCGAGGCAAACCGAACUGGGAACAUCUUUCCGAUGAUUUACAUGUGUUGAUCACAGUUGAAGACACGGAAAACCGAGCUGGAAUCAAAAUCAAACGUGCUCUGGAAGAGGUCAAGAAACUGUUGGUUCCCCACGCCGAAGGAGAAGACGAACUCAAGAAACGCCAGCUUAUGGAACUCGCAAUAAUCAACGGUACCUAUCGGGAUUCCAGCACGAAGGCCGUUCCCACCGAGCUGAACUUCGAAACAGCGUACGAUGGCUGGAAACAACUGGCCGCUGAGCAGCGCCUCAUGAACCCUGCAGCCUUUACCGGUUUAACGACGAACCAUCUGGCUGCCGCUGCAGCGAGAAACGCUGCCAACCCGCUCGGUGCUCCGCUGAUCCUGUCACCAAGAAUCUCUGUGCCAACCACUGGCGCCAGUUUAAUCACCGGUACGGCUCCUCCGACGAUCGAUCACACCACCGGUCUGAUAUACACCACCACGCCGUACACCGACUACGCCAGCUACGCCACCCUAGCCGCUGGGAACCCGCUGCUUACGGAAUACGCCGAUCACAGUUCUCUAUCCUUGUUCCAGGUCAGACAGUUUUGAUGGACCCGAUGGGACAAUCUACCGCCGCCGCCGCCGCCGUACUACUCAUUCCGUACUGGUACACCCCCUCCCCCGAACUGAACGGACAGGACGAAAUCGCUUCCCCCUACUUGCACAACACAAGCCCUGGGGGACGACAACCCCAUCGUGCCAUCACUUUCUACCCAUCCGAUCCCGAUCGUACCCGUGAGUGAGUGCCAUGUGAAGUGCUUGACGUGUCGUCCAUUUCACGACACAAUUCACAAGUCAUCGAAUCAAAUCGUCUAUAUUAAUCUAGUGAGCUGGUGCAACGGCUGACUGUGAGCACACAGAAAUAGUGUGAGAGAAAGAGAAAGAGAGAGAAUGUGUGUGUGUAUUUAGAAGCAAAAGAAAGCCGCUUCAGUUGUGUUUUCUAGAGUUUAACGAAGACAAGUUUUAGUAUUCUAUUAAGUAGCUAUUUAAAUUGAUAUCACAUACAAUGCAGUAGAGACACCUACACAAUUGUUAGAUAAAUUAUUGCAGCAAAUUACCAAGUUUACGAUACAUAGAGGAAUGAACGCGAACAAUGUAGUUCAAGUUUACUUAUAUGCUUAAGGAGGACACGUACUUCACCUGCAUUGCUGAAGAAUUGUACACGAAUCGAAUGUGGAUGGAUUCUUACCGGCAACCGUCAUUUUCUCAAUACAAAAAGAUUAGCACACCCAGAAACUGCGCCAUAUAGCCGAACCGUCGUCGUCGUCGUCGUCAAUGGUCGUUACCAAGAAAACCGGUUGCAUCCGGAUGCGCAGCGACACUCGUAUAUUUCCAAUUCGCAACAUAUUUCGAACCGUUGUUCCGGGUGCAGUACAUCUCAUUGCAGCACGUUCAACGAGAGACAUAUUCGUGAGACAAUGCAGCGGCGAGUGAAAAAUAACAAAAAAGAAAAAAACACAAUGUCCAGCUAAGUCGAAUGCGCCAGAAAAGAGAAAGGAGCCUGUGCGCGAACCGAUCGUCACCGAUCGCGCAAAAGAAAGCAAUAAAGAGAAAUGCAAAAAAGGGAAGAGAAAAACAUUCGAGACACAAAGAAGCUACAAAAACAUGAAUUAACUUUGUGGAUGUAGAAAAAAUAAACGUAAACACCAGUUUUGGAUUGAUGAGGAGACAUUCCAUACAAACCGUUAUAAAAACCAGAAAGUUGUGCGGAGUACGUACCGCGUUUAAAACUGGCAACAACAGCAACAGCAACAGCAACAGCAGCAGCAGCAGCGGCUAAAAACUGUCCAAGGUGCUUUCGAAGCGACUAAAGAGAGUGCCCAUAUCGUAUCGCCCCUCCUCCCCUAGCUACUCCUCGACAUGACUGACCUUCUUCGACCAACGCGCUGGGAAUAUGACAUACGUCGAGUUUACCGUACUCAGAGUGGUGCAUUGCAUUGCAUUGCAUUGCGCUGCUGCAGUGGGUAGUUGUGAAGGCUGCAUCAAGAUCGUCGAAGCAACUUAGCCAUCAUCAGCAUUCGGCCGGUCGUGCUCGGUCCGGUUGUUCGAUUCUUUCGGAGCGAUGUAGUGUGAAUUCGCACUGGAUUAUGCUGGGAAAGUAGCCCAUCAUGCCAGGUACCCCGCUGGCUGACAAGGGUGGAUGAGGUGGUGAUGGUGGUGGUGGUGGUGCACUUUAAAACGCAAUUAUAGUCAGUUGUUUACCUAUAUUCAUAAGAAAUCGACCCAAAAUUGCAGUUUACACAAAACCAGUUACCAAGUAUCUGAGAUCGUUGGACUAUUCUCUUUGUACCGCACUUAUAGGUUAGAUACAUUCUUAGAUUUAGUAUACUAUAAAAUAUGUGAAAUAAACAGACCAGAGGUGAGAACGUUUUAUACUCCAGUAAGGGAUGACAUGGUACUUCCACGACGUUUUAGUUUAUAGAUUUCGAAUAAUGUUUCAUAGUUGCUUUGUUAGAAUGUGGCAAACUAGUCUAUAUUAAACUUAGAUGUCUAGGGACAUGAACCGUAUCGAACAUCUUUUCAUAUAUGUACUGUAAAUUGUUUAGUAUUUAAU